rnacentral:rRNA from 1 species
UGCCAGCCGCCGCGGUAAUACGAACUGUGCAAACGUUAUUCGGAAUCACUGGGCUUAAAGGGUGCGUAGGCGGCUAUGUAGGUCUGAUGUGAAAUCCCACGGCUCAACCGUGGAACUGCGUUGGAAACCAUGUAGCUUGAGGAAGACAGAGGAAAGCGGAACUGAUGGUGGAGCGGUGAAAUGCGCUGAGAUCAUCAGGAACACCGGUGGCGAAAGCGGCUUUCUGGGUCUUUUCUGACGCUGAGGCACGAAAGCUAGGGGAGCGAACGGGAUUAGAUA